AUUGAACGCUAGCGGCAUGCUUAACACAUGCAAGUCGAGCGGCAGCGCGGGGAAACCUGGCGGCGAGCGGCGGACGGGUGAGUAAUACGUAGGAAUCUGCCUUGUAAUGGGGGACAACCCGGGGAAACUCGGGCUAAUACCGCAUAAUCUCUAAGGAGGAAAGUAGGGGACCUUCGGGCCUUACGUUAUAAGAUGAGCCUGCGUCGGAUUAGCUAGUUGGUGGGGUAAAGGCCUACCAAGGCGACGAUCCGUAGCUGGUCUGAGAGGACGAUCAGCCAGACUGGGACUGAGACACGGCCCAGACUCCUACGGGAGGCAGCAGUGGGGAAUAUUGGACAAUGGGGGAAACCCUGAUCCAGCAAUGCCGCGUGUGUGAAGAAGGCCUUCGGGUUGUAAAGCACUUUCAGUGGGGAAGAACUAAUUCAAGGUUAAUAACCUUGAGUCUUGACAUUACCUACAGAAGAAGCACCGGCAAACUCUGUGCCAGCCGCCGCCGUAA
rnacentral:rRNA from 1 species